ACAUCUGCAACCGCACGAUUUGCGGUUAGAAGACUUUCAGAGUUGAAAGCACCCAAAUUGGCGAGUCUAAGUAUUU
rnacentral:sRNA from 1 species